AAGGGCUAUCCUACCAGAACAGCAUUUUAUUUAACGAACAUGUGUGACACCAACAUAAUAAUCACUACGGCAGACUUUGUACAAAGUGUUAACCUGUCUUACAUGUUCACGAAUGUCCACCAGCUUCAAAACACAUUGACUGCUCCAUGACCUUUGGUUCUGGUGUGCUGAGACACAACCACUUUCCCCAAGUGCCAGUACAGGCUGGGGCUGACCUACUGGAGAGCUGUUCAGCUGAGAAGGGCCUGGGAGUAUUGGUGGGUGACAAGCUGACCAUAAGCCAGCAGUGUCCCCUUGUGUCCAGGAGGGACAAGAGUGUCCUGGGCUGCCUCGGGAGGAGCGUGGCCAGCAGGUUGAUCCUCCCCCUCUGCUUGAUCCUGGUGAGGCCGCAUCCGGAAUACUGUGCCCAGUCCUGGGCUCCUUAGUACUAGAAAGACAAGGAGCUUCUGGAGAGGGUCCAGCGGAGGCCACAGGGAGCAUCAGGGGUCUGGAGAAUCUCUCUUAUGAGGAGAGAUUGCGGGAGCUGGGCCUGUUUAGUCUAGAGGAGAGAGACUGAGAGGGGAUGUAUUUAAUGCAUUUAUCUCAACGGCGGGUGCCAGGAGGAUGGUGCCAGACUCUUUCCAGUGGUGCACAGCAACAGCACAAGGAACAAUGGCCAUAAACUAAAACACAAGUUUCACCUCAACAUGAGGAAGAACUUCUCUACUCUGAGGGCGGCAGAGCACUGGAAGAGGCUGCCCGGGGGCGCUGUAGAGUCUCCCUCUCUGGAGACGUUCCUGUGUGAUCUCCUCCAGCUGGCUCUGCCCUGGCAGGGGGUUGAACUUGAUGAUCACCAGAAGUCCCUUCCAACUCUACUGACUCUUUGAUAUUUCUACCAUUCGACCUCAACCAAAACAAAAAAUGUAGUCUCAGCCUUCAGGCACUGAUAUUGUCCAAGCCCUCCUUUUGCUUAUGUGUCCUUAACCAGCACCAGCUGCGGCAGCGACACCCGCUGCCAGCUGCGCGGAGCUCGCGCCCCUCCAGACCUCCCCGCGCUCCCAUGGCAGCGGCGGGCGCCCGGCGACGGGCGCUUCCGCUUCCGGCGGCCAGACUGCAGCAGGGCCCGGCCGCGGUUAGGCCGCGGCGGCGGCGGCGGGGUACGGUGAUCGCGGCCUGCGCCGGGCAGGAGCAGAGGCCGACAUGUGGCCGCCGCCGCUGCCCUGGCUGCUGGCGGGGCUGCUGCUAGCUGCCCGUUGCGGGGAGGCUGCGGCGGCGGCCCUUCACCUUCGGAGUGCCGACACUGCCUCCCCGCGCCCCACCGAGGUGGCCAGCGGGGCCGCCACACGAAGCAGCAGCAGCAGUCGCCUGGCCGAGGUGUCGGCGCCGCCCGAGCAGGGCCAGCCCAUGACCCAGCGCGCCCUGUCCGUGCUGGUGCUGGCCAGCGCCGCCCUCAUCGUCUACUUCGUGAUCCGGACCGUGCGGCUCAGAAGGCGAAGCAGAAAAACCCGAAGGUACGGCGUUUUGGAUACAAACAUAGAAAACAUGGAGCUGACCCCAUUAGAGCAAGAUGAUGAUGAUGAUGAUACAACACUAUUUGAUGCCAGUCAUCCUCGAAGUUGGAGAAGGGAUGUCAAGAUCACUUGAAUUUUAAAUGGGCAAGAAUUUAGUGAGCAAGAAGAUAAACAGCAUUUGUCUUCAGCAUGUGAGUUCCAGAGAAAUGGAGAGGAAGAGAAGUACGUGCCUUUCAGUGAAAGAACUUAAUCUUAGAACCAGAGAAGGAGACUGCUUCAUGGAAGGAAUAAGAAGCAAGAGGGUAUGAAAAUUGGGGGGACUAAUUUAAUUUGUGUAUGUUAUGGCAUCCUUAUUUUGUUGCAAUAAAUACUGUACCAAUUCGUUGUACCUUUUUGUAUAUAAAAGAUUCUAAAUGUAAAGCCUACAGAGAAAGAGUGCACUAAAAUGAAAACCUAUUUGGAAGGGAGAUUACUUUUAAAAUGGUAUUUUUUUGCUUGUUACAAAUCUUGUAUGCCGUAAGUGUGGUAUACACUUUUUCUACAGUUACCUGGAAUGCUGACACAUUUUUUUUGCUGAUAUUAAAUUGUAAGUAAACAUGGCAUCUGUGGACUCCUCAGAAUUGUUAGAGCUUGAUUUUAGUUGAGGAGAUGCUUUACCCUUUACAAAUAAAAAGCCAAACUACU